CCUUCCGCCUCCCGCUGUCCAAGACCGACGCCGACGCCCCCCUUCCGCCUCCCGCUGUCUACGCCUCUCCCGCUGUCUACUCCUCCCGCCGUGAUUCCUCCCUCCUCCUCCCGCCUCCCGCUGUCUACGCCUCUCCCUCCCGCCUCCUCCCGCCUCCCGCUGUCGACGCCGGCAUCGACGCCAAGAUAAGGUAAAGUCUGAUUAUCUUUUUUUUAAUCUUUCAGGAGUUUGAAGGUGAUUAAAGAUCAUGCUUGUCAAUGGCUGAUAUGGUUUCUAAUUGAGAGUUCCCGUUGUAAGCAAAGAAAUAAGAUAAAGCAGGAGAAAAUAGCUGGCUUUUCUGUGGAAAACAAAGGUUGCUAUCUUCAUCCGUUUCACAUGGUUAUGAUUCAAAUUAUUUCUUUUAGUAGUUUCGCUUGUUAAAAGGAGAUAAGGUGCAUGUGCAAGCCUGAGCGUGGUUAAUGCUCUGUUUCUCCAGUUCCUGCUCAAAGUAAUUGUUUGUUAUAAAUUUAUUAUAAAAUGAGGAAAUUCAUGAGGUCUAUAUGCUGAUAGGUUCAUGAGAAAGGGGAUUUCCUACAAAGGGUUUGAAAUAUACGAAGAGGUUUUGCUUGAAUGGGAGAAGCACACUAUCGCUCGUGAUCCAGCAUCCAGCUCAAGGCAUGUCCUGACACCAGUUCAAUUUCAACAAACUGUCUUCUUGUAUGUGAUGUGAUUUGUGGAUGAUUCUUCUAUGUGAGGAUAAGCUUGUAUAACUUGGGUCAUUUUGUACUUAGUUUGAACUCAAUUUUCACAAUGCUUGAAGUCAGUUUGUCCUCAAAUGUUAGUUUAUUUGUGGUCAUUUUGUGCUCUGAUUAGUACAUAACUGGUUCAUUUUGUAAUCAAUCAUGAGCUUGCUUGUUUUGUUUCUCAA